rnacentral:lncRNA from 1 species
GAGAGCUUCCCAGCCUUUUAGCUCGGCGGGAGGGGUUUUCUCGCACUGCACGGCAACGGUGGGGACCGCAGGGAUCACUGAUCUCAUUCGGAGUCCACACUAAGGUUUGGGGCUUCCAGCCAGCAGGUUGCGGUGCCGUUUGCAGGUCUUGUGUCUUCCGCGUGGCUUUCCCCUGUCGGUUUCGUC